CAUCAAGAGUAAACUUCCUGUCCCAUUAAACAAUGAGGCAUUCAAACUCCGCCUGAGUAAAAGUCCCCUGAUGCAAUGCGAGGGUGAGCAAUUUCAUGUCAGGCUGUUGUUAUGGGAUUUAUACAUGUCCUAGCUAGGGCUUGAGGUGAACAUCGGAGCCAAAAACAAUAGCCCUAAACCCCACAUGCACAGAAACCUCAUUCCAGCGGAGUUUCCUUAAGAGAGGCGCACAGCAGACUUUUCACAAACAAAGUGACUUCAAAGGCAGGCUUGCAUCACCAGCCUCCCUCCCUCUCCUGACACUUCCCUUUAGGCCAGACCUGGCCCUUCUGUUCUUGGCUUACUUUAUGAGGCUCUCUCUCUCACACACACACACACAUCGCAAAGCAAUUAUCCGAGCUCACAGGCCAACAGGAAAGUAAUUGUAACUGAGUAUUUCCUUUGCCACUGCAGUGGGGAUGGGACCCAGUGACUGGGCAGCAGCUGCUCCCGAGGCUCCCAGACUGGACUCCCCCCCACCUCCCCCGGGGAGGAGGAUGCCAGGGGGAUGGGGGAAUGGGGGGGAAUUUUCUUACAUCACUUGACGCGCUUGCUUUCACUACCCAAACCCUGAGUCACGACUGAAGCCGGAUUGCCUCGGGUCUCUCUGGCUGAAACCAGAGGUUCUAGAUUUGGAAACCUGACUCCCAUCAGCUGACUCUUGUUCAGUUCAUCAGAGGAAACGUGUCUUGUCUUACUUGCCCCCUCUUCGAGCUGAAGUGCCUUCUCAUAAGGGGAUUACAUGAGGAAAAGGCGCUGUGUAGUGGCUUAGUAAGCCAAUGCUGGGCGAGUGAACAAUAUUUGACGUUGGGUCACUUAAAACGAACCACGUUGAGUCCAUUUUCAGAGAAGUUCUUUUGGUUUGGGGAAACAAGGCCUCUUCUAAACCAGCUGCCCCCGACCUCCCCCUCCCCUAGUCAUAUGUGUGGGUGCGCUCCGUUGCUCAGUCUUGUCCGUCUCUUUGCGACUCCCUGGACUGUAGCCCGCCAGGCUCCUCUGUCCAUAGAAUUUUGCAGGCAAGGAUACUGGAGUGCCAUCGCCUUCUCCAGGCGAUCUUCCUGACCCAGGGAUCAAACCCUCUUCUCUUGCAUCUCCUGCCUUGGCAGGUGGAUUCUUCACCACUAGUGCCAGUGGGUAGCUCCCCGCCCCCCACCCACCUCCAAACAUAAGUGCUUCCAAAGUUGACUGGGUGGGUAUUUACAAAGUAGACUCAGGAAACUGAAUGUUCAAUCAAAUUAAUAUCUUUCCAUGGGAGAAAAUAUUCAUAAGAUACAGAAAAUUGUAAGAGGAGAGUUGAUGAGAAAUUCCACUAAGUUAAAUGCUUUUGUACACACACACACACACACACAGGAAAUACUCUAAAAUGGGUGGUGAGACUAGGAGUAAUUGUUCUCUUCUUCAUGUUUUUCUUAUCUUUCUAAACUCUUUACAGUAAGCAGGGAUUUAUACCCAUAGCAGAGCAUGGUGAGUGAAAGCACAGACUUUGGAGCCAGACUGUCUGGUUUGAGUCCUGGCCCUCCCACUUCCUGUGGUGAUGGUCAGUGAAUUACUUGAUUUCUCUGUGCCUCAUUUUCCUCAUCUGUAAAGUGGGGGUAAGGAUUGUACCUAUUAUAUAAGGUGGUUAUAGGAAUUAAAGAGUCUAUGUGUGUAAAGUGCUUAGAACAUGUCUAGCAUGUUCGAUGAAGAAAAUAACUUUUACUUUCUUUUAAAUUUUAAUUGGCGUAUGACUGCUUUACAAUGUUGCGUUAGCUUCUGCCGUACAACAGCGUGAAUCCGCCGUAAUACAUGCAUGGAUCCACUCCCUCCCGAGCCUCCCUCCCUCCCCACCCUCCCCUCCUAGGUCAUCGCAGAGCAUCGGGCUGAGCUCCCCGCGGUGCAGAGCGGCUUCGCGCUGGCCAUCUGUUCCACACGUGGUACUGUGUUUAUACCCUCCCGACGCGGCCCACUGUCUCCACCCCCCGUCUGUUCUCUAUGUCUGCGUCUCCAUCGCUGCCCUCAAAUAGGUGCAUCAGUGUUUUCAUCAGUACCGUUUUUCUAAUUUAUCGAAUGGUGGCUGAUGUUCUCUGGAAUGCUCUCGGCCAUGGGGUUCAUGCUUUAUGACGCGCACUGCUGGAGAGAGGGUGCAUGGACCCCUAGGCCCGUGUCUGCCCUCAACUAACACAGUCAGGGCGGGCACGUGGCGUUGGCUGGGUGGCUAAAACUCUCAAAGCUCUCUGCCAGGUCGUGACAAAGAGCAGGGAUUUCCCAAGGGUAUACUGUGACCUCCGCCCGCUCCCCACCACGGCCGCCCCUUUGGUCAGAGCCGAGUGACGGCAAGCCUAAUUGUCCCCCAAACCGCAGGUUAUACUAUCACAGUUCGGCUGGUGACGUCCGCAGAGCUGGAAGGAUCCUUGACCUUUGGUAAACGGCGCCCCCUCGCCCAGAUUGAAAUGCCCUGGGCCAACCUGUGUGUGCAGCGAUACGUGCUUCACUUCCUCACGUAGGCCUGGGAGGAGCAGAGGGAAAUGGGAGCCGGCUUUGUGGCAGAUAGUCAAGUAAUUGUGAAACUGUUCAUGAACUGAUAGGAGAAGGUGAA
ensembl:lncRNA